rnacentral:rRNA from 1 species
UGGGGAAUAUUGGACAAUGGGCGCAAGCCUGAUCCAGCCAUGCCGCGUGAGUGAUGAAGGCCCUAGGGUUGUAAAGCUCUUUCACCGGUGAAGAUAAUGACGGUAACCGGAGAAGAAGCCCCGGCUAACUUCGUGCCAGCAGCCGCGGUAAUACGAAGGGGGCUAGCGUUGUUCGGAUUUACUGGGCGUAAAGCGCACGUAGGCGGACUAUUAAGUCAGGGGUGAAAUCCCGGGGCUCAACCCCGGAACUGCCUUUGAUACUGGUAGUCUUGAGUUCUAGAGAGGUGAGUGGAAUUCCGAGUGUAGAAGUGAAAUUCGUAGAUAUUCGGAGGAACACCAGUGGCGAAGGCGGCUCACUGGCUCGAUACUGACGCUGAGGUGCGAAAGCGUGGGGAGCAAACAGG